UACGUAGGGGGCGAGCGUUGUCCGGAUUUAUUGGGCGUAAAGAGCGUGUAGGCGGCUCGAUAAGUCUGCUGUGAAAGUCCAGGGCUCAACCCUGGAAGGCCGGUGGAAACUGUCGGGCUAGAGUCCGGAAGAGGAGAGUGGAAUUCCUGGUGUAGCGGUGAAAUGCGCAGAUAUCAGGAAGAACACCGAUGGCGAAGGCAGCUCUCUGGGACGGUACUGACGCUGAGACGCGAAAGCGUGGGGAGCGAACAGG
rnacentral:rRNA from 1 species